UGAUCCAACUAAUAGAUCUCUAGAUAUCAUAAAAAUCAUACCCAACCUCAAACUGCUAACUUCCAAAACCCUCUUGUGCUAAAAACCAAAUAUCUCUAAACCAUGUUGUUAGAUUAUCACAAAAUUUUGUGUACACCUAGGAAACCAAAUAAUCCAAACAGUCUCAAAUUUUCAACUAUAGAUGUUACACAAAUUUCAUAAACUAGCCAAAAUUGCUAGCCCUAAUUAUAUUAUAUAAAACCCAAAUCACCAAUACAAACCCUGACUUUGAAUAAUAAUUGCUAAAUCCUCCAAAAUCCUUCAAAAUUAAUCCUUAUGCCUUUGAAAUGAACUUCAAGCUAGCUCUCAA
rnacentral:lncRNA from 1 species